CCUCAUCUCAUGCUUAUCUUCCCGAACCGCUCUCACAACUCUAUCUUCCCGAACCCCUCUCCUUCCAACUCCUCCUCCCAUGUCCUCUCCAUCCAACUCCUCUCAAGCAAACCCCUCUCCGGCGAACUCCUCUCCGCGAACCUCCUCUCCUCUGAAUUCCUUCACCUCUUCGUCAAAUAGCAAAUGCCCUAAUCACUCCGCUCUUGGAUCGCCGCCUCCGCACUAGAUCUACUCGCCGGUGGUUUCCUCUACAGAAAUGGCAAAUGCUUGGAUUUCAAGAGCAUCAAAGUAUCGGAGUUCAGUUUGGAAGGUUAGCGACAAACGGCCAGGUUAUAAUGCCAGUGACUCAGAUUCUAAUGAGGAGAAGAUUAACAUCAAAUCAUCAGCAGAAGGACCUGGUUCAUAAGGUGAGUUAUUCUUCUGUUCUGUUUGGUAAAUUUUUAAACUCAGAUUCUAGAUGAUUGAUGCUCUAUCAAGUUAAAAGGCAAAAGAAAUAAGUAGCCAUGGAUCACUAUUAUUUUAUUUUUGCAUCUCAAAUAAUUUAUAGUGCAAUAUAUCGGAUAUUUGAAAGGUCCUGUAAAAUUGAAUGGCCAAAGUGAUUUACUGCUAAUCUUGAACUAUCUUUCACAUAUCUAGUUCUUUUGAUUCCUGUUAAUUUCAUUUUUAUUAAUUCAUUGAUCAUGACUCAUGACAAGGAACACAAAUUUGUCUUUCUGUUCUAAUCUUGGUCAAGUGAAAUUUCCUGCACGAUGUUAAAUAUACCACAAAAUUAAAUAGUCUAGUGCAAGAAAGAUAUUCUUUUAGAAUUUUAGGCCUUCAUUUUUAAGUUGUUUUGUCAUGUGCCUUAGUCUAGCUUGAGAUGACAGCAUACAAGGAUGAUUGCUCUCCUAGAGAUGCUCAAUCCUGAAGUUUAAGAAUUAAUUAGAGGUUUAUUUCUCGAAUGUGAAAUUUAUAUUGUCAAUAUUUAGUUCAAUAAUCUUUGUGAUUUUGGGUUGUAAAACUCUCUGCAAAUUGGUUUGGGUACAUGAUUUAAAAACUUGCUCCUGGAGUGGAACUAGACAGUUUGGUACUGUUUUGAUAGUAGGUGUUAAGAGGAAAAGAAGAGGGAGGAGCUUAGCUUAAGGCAUUGCCCUGAAGAAGCCUUUUGACUUUCAAGAGUUCGUUCAACAUUGACAUUUAUACGGAACUAAAGUUUUGCCCUUGCGUAGUGAAGAGGCUUCAGUCACCUGGAGUAGUCAUGAGUAGGACAGUCACAAAGCUGUGGAGUUAAGCAACAAACUGUAUAUAUAACUCAUCCUUUUUUUGUUUUUCAUACUCAUUUUUUCAAUUUCUCUGGAAUUGUAUAUCUCAGCUACCUUUAAGAAGAUUGAGAAAAUGUCUGAUCUGAUUAACUUACAGUAUUUAGUUAUUCUAUAAAUAAUUUGGAUUUUCUGCUUUUCUAGUCUGACACCAUUUGCUAUUGUUUGUAUAAUAAUUGCUAGUUAUUCUAAUUGUGAAUUUAUCAUUUUGGAUGAAGUCUCAUCUUGGUGUUGUUUCUCCAAAAUUUAAAAAGAAACAAGCUAGAUCAUCGCAGAAGUUAACUACCAAACUCCACAGUUCUUUGGAAGACCCCAACACAAAUGAUUUGGAGGAUGAUCUACCCGUAGAUAAUGCUUCAAAGCAAUUGGUGCUUCAUAAUGAGGUUUCUAGUACACAUUAGAUAUAAGUGAGAAAUAGUAAAGGUAUGUGUAAUUAUAUAUAACAUAUAUUUUAAUGUGUAUGUUUAUCAUUAUUAAUUUGUCUCUAAUUAACAUAAGCUCCUCGGCAAGAUGCCAAACAAUGUGGUUAUUAUGUGAUGUGAUUUAUGAGACAAAUUGUUGAAGAAGUUGAAAUUAUCGAGAGAGAUUCACUACGAUCUAUAGUAAUAUUUUCUUGCUUAUGUCUCAAAUUAUUUGAAAUAAACUAUUUAAAAUUUGCAAAGUCAACGUUGAUGUUUUUUCAUUAAUGUUCACAGUUUACAGAAGCGGAGUAUUCUCGAGAAGAAAUUGAUGAGGUGCGAUCGGAGUUGGCAGAAUGUAUACAAGAUCAUAUUUAUGAGUAGGUCAAACAAAAUAUGACUGACAGAACUCAUCAACUUCUAGAUGCUCGAUCAAAGGAUACACAGUGGUAGAUGUUU